rnacentral:rRNA from 1 species
UACGAAGGGGGCUAGCGUUGCUCGGAAUCACUGGCGUAAGGGUGCGUAGGCGGGUCUUUAAGUCAGGGGUGAAAUCCUGGAGCUCAACUCCAGAACUGCCUUUGAUACUGAAGAUCUUGAGUUUGGGAGAGGUGAGUGGAACUGCGAGUGUAGAGGUGAAAUUCGUAGAUAUUCGGAAGAACACCAGUGGCGAAGGCGGCUCACUGGCCCGGUACUGACGCUGAGGUGA